CCUCUUCUAGUGCAUCCCACCCCACGAGGGUACGCGAUUUGGGAGCGAAGCGAGGAGCCUCAGUAACUCCCACGCAGGCAAGAAGGAGGAGAGCAGCCGGCUCUAUUUAAAAUCCACAUAGCUACCCUGCAAAGGAACUGUUAGUGUCUCCAUUCCGCAGGUGGAAAAGCCCAGGCUCAGGAGUUGGCCCUUGGUUGUGAUCCUACAGAAUCCACUUUCUUCACUUGGCUACCCGAACCCCUGACUCUCCUGGUCUUCCUCACUCCACUGGCACGCCUGUCUCUCUGAUGGGCUUCUUCUGCCUGCUUUAGCCACACUAGCCUAAUUGCUGGUCCUUGAACUUGCCCCAUUUCUUCUUGCCUUGGCUGUUCACUUAGCCUGGAAUACUCUUCCCCCGUGUGUCACUCAGAUCACUCAAGAGGUCCUUUUAGACCACCUUGUAGAAAGUCCCCCACCCAAAUUUGCUUAAGCAGCUUGGUUUUCUUUUAGAGCAGACACCACUACCCAACAUGAGACGUUUUAUUAUUGCCUCUCUCCCUCAGCAGAUCAGCUCCGUGAGUGCAGGAACUUCCAUGUUCACGCUGUAUCCUCAGUUCCUAGAACUGAACCGGCACACAGUUGGCACAGAAUGAAUAUUUGUAAAAAUUCCUGUGAAGUGAAUGUUUACGAUUGUCUUGCUAACGUGGGAAGGGGAGAAGGGAAGAAAGGUUGUUGUUUUAGAACACAAAAGUCAGGAGUUGUUCACCAGGAAGUUGGUGCCGAUGGAGCUGACUCGAUAACAGCCUAUGUAUGCCCAGAGGAAAAUGCCUGGCCAGUGAGUGAGGACGGGUCAGGUUGGCUCCCAUCAGAAAAACGAGGGGAGAGGAAAAUGGAGAUGUUUCCUCCAUGCGUCUAGGUAAUGGCCAGGAGAUAGGAGUGAGGGGAGGUUAGGGUCACAGACCUGUCCCUUUCUGUGGCCAGGGGGUGCAGAAAGGAACGGACACUUGCUCUAUCCCUCAGGAACACGCAGAGUCCACUGAGGCAUGAACACCAGCCUCACCAUCUCUUGUCCAGAGGGACUUAGAAUCAGUACAUUUCUUGCAUCAGAAAGCUCCAGAAGGUCAGAAACCGUCAGGACAACAUUGUCCAACAUGAACUAGAUUUAGAGAGCCAGACAGACCCCAGGCAACCUUCUCCAGCUCUUCCCACUCUCACCUUUGUCAGGUGAAACAAUCCAUUCAGGGACAUGCUUGAAGGAGGAAGUUGUUAGGCUGACUGGCCAACAGUUGGGAUCUGGACUUGGUAGUUUGCCUAACCCAUGCUGAUCUGCCCAGACUCACCCAGCCCUCUGCUUCUCUCUGCAGACUGCCUUCAGCUGGGUAGAGGCAUUUUCUCUGUCCUUCACACAGUACUCUCGUCUGCACCUGUCAGUUUACCUUUCUGUUUUACCCUAGUAGGUCAGAGUGCAUAGAAUAGUGCCUGGCCCUUGGUAGACAAUCAUUUCAGUUGUCUGUGGCUGAAUAGCACACAACCCCAAAACGUAAUGUCUUAAAACUAAUUGUUAUCACAAUUGUUUCCUGGGCUGUGCUGCUCCACAUGGUGUCAGCUGGGGCACGGGCACUGUUGGAAAUUCCAAAGUGCCCCCCCACCCCAUGGUUGGCAGUCGGUGCUGGCUGGCGGCUGGGUCAGAAUGGGUCGUGGGUCAGGGCCUUGGUUCUUCUUCCCAUGGACCUCUCCACAUGGUUGCUUGGGUUUUCUCACACACUGGAGGGUGUAUCCCAAGAAGGGACAU